rnacentral:rRNA from 1 species
CAGCCGCCGCGGGAAUACGAAGGGUGCAAGCGUUAAUCGGAAUUACUGGGCGUAAAGCGUGCGUAGGCGGUGAGUUAAGUCUGCUGUGAAAUCCCCGGGCUCAACCUGGGAAUGGCAGUGGAUACUGGCUCGCUAGAGUGUGUCAGAGGAUGGUGGAAUUCCCGGUGUAGCGGUGAAAUGCGUAGAGAUCGAGAGGAACAUCAGUGGCGAAGGCGGCCAUCUGGGACAACACUGACGCUGAGGCACGAAAGCGUGGGGAGCAAACAGGAUUAGAUACCUCAGUAGUCCCUGUCUCUUAUAC